CGAAAGUAGGAAUGACCUCCGAACCUUCAGCUUCCCCAGUUAAAAUGAACAAACACCAGAGGACGUCAAGUCUUUUCAGAAAAGGAGCAUAAUGAUGCUGACGGUGUCGUGUCUUGGAGGAUCUUCAGAGCUGUCAGGCCAACACAUGGGCUUCUGUCUCGAUGCAACUGGCCAGCAGAUACAGUUUUAGCCACGCACAUAUCUGUAUUUUUAACUUUACAUAAACACAUGCAUGUUCAAAUGGUACCAAAUAAGACAAUAUUUAGAUACAAUUACAUUUGAAUGUUGUUUAUUUGAAAAUGUGGCUGGAUUUUGAAUGAAAUGUGAUGUUUAAUUUAUGAGCCAGUUUUUUCUUGACAUACUAAUACUGACUUUUUGAAUAUUUGUGAUAAUUUUUGAAUGAAGGCAUUCGCUGUUUUCAUUCAUUUACAUGACAUGCACUCUGGCAUUUGAACUUGUGAAAGAGAUGUUUUUUCUCCUGACUCAAGAAAAAUAAAUGUUGUAGAAAUAUGA